CAGCGGUUGGGGAGGAAUGUGUCCUUGUAAUGAUGAUUUUUUUCCUCUCCUGUGUGGGUGGGAAAGUGCAUAGAAGUUAGCCUCCAGCAAGAACAAAUAUACCCCAAGGUCCGGGUCACUGCUUUGUGGCUGACAAUCAUAAGAUCUGCCCUUGAGCGCAAAUGGAAAGUCUGGGCUCAGAAUUGCUUCGGAGGUCUGAUGGGACAAAUGGACAGAGCCUGAGAGGUGUCGAUAGACCAAGCAUGGAGAGAUUAAAUAUCUAGCCUGAAGCUGCAGAGCAACUAACUAAAAUCGGACCCCCAAACUCUGACUGAAAGUGGCUCCUGAGAAGCACCUGGGGAUGUCAUCUUUGCACCUGGUAGCCUUUCCAGGUCAGGGGGACUGUGCCACAACCUUGGGUGCUGGAUAGAACUAUAGCCUGAAGUGGCCUUGGGUCACUGGUCCCUGGGUCACUGGUCGUGACCGUACAUCCCAAGAGCCCCAGCUAGCAUUAAACAGAUCCAGAGUGAGACAUCCGGGUGGCUCAGCACCCAGGACGAGGCUUCCCUAGAGAACAGGACUGCUUUUUCUUCUAUGAGAAGUCAAGACUCUCUGUGAGUAAAUUCUCCAAUCAUGGGGCAAUCCGGUGCCCUUGAGAGAGGACAGCUGAUACUCACCUGGACUCCUGCUGAUGAAAUAGCAUCUGAUAUCUGAUGGGACAGCUCACCUUUGGAACACUGCCCCCUUAACCAUUGGGCCAGGCUGGCCAGUGCCUGACAGCCAAGGCCACAAGGUGGGGCAUCCAGAGAUGACCUUGGCAGAUGGUGUUUGGGUGGCUGUCCAGGAGACAGUGGAAGCCGAGAGCAAAGCCCUGUGUGCAUGUGGGCAGGGUGUGGAAACUCACCUCCAGCCGAACGGAGAACCUUAGUGCCUUUUGCUGACAUUUCAGCCUGCCAUUCAUCCCAUCAUUCCAGACACCUUGCUUAUGGAGUUAGUCAACGCUGUGCAGGUUCCUCCCCUACUGCUCGAGUCAACAUCUGUCAGAACUGGACAUGUCUGCUUGAGGCGAGCCAAAGCUGGGACCUUAGAUGUGAGCCAAGGGCCUGACUAGCAGAGAAAUAUUAAGGACACUGGCCUAUCUUGGGGAUAUGGCAUGAUGGUGUGCCCAAUCUUGAACCUGGACCAAAAGGGUCUCCAACUAAUACUCGGUUACAAAGACUUAGACAAGUGCCAUACGGUAUGCUCUCCUGUUUCUGAUCCUCUGUCCUGUGGCAGAGGUGAGUGACAUUGUUGACCACCCACUGUGAGUAACGUUUGUUGAGCACCUACUGUGAGUCCCAAAAGGAGACUGUUGCCAGCUCUGUUCUCUGGAGGAAAAAACUGAAUCUCAACAAGACAGUAGGGCUGGAAAGAUGGCUCAGCGGUUAAGAGCACUGACUGCUCUUCCAGAGGUCCUGAGUUCAAUUCCCAGCAACCACAUGGUGACUCCAACCACCUAUAAUGGAAUCUGAUGCCCUCUUCUGGUGUGUCUGAAGACAGUGACAGUGUACCCACAUACAUGGAAUAAAUAAAUAAAUCUUUAAAAAAAGAAAUUAAAAAUAAAGAAGACAUAAUUCACUUUGGGUCUUGUAGCUGUUAAGUAUUCAGGCUGGUGACCUGACCUUGCUUCCAGAACCAUUCAUUCCCUUUACGCCACCUUAGCCUCAGCUACCCACAUCCUCAGAAAUAUCUUGGGAAUCUUGCCAUCCAUAAAAGACUGAGCCAAAUCCCAGUCAAUGUAUUACACUCUCUCCUCUGUGUGCUGCCCCUUCCUCGGCCUCGCCAGAGUCCAGCUGCAGACCGGUAGCCUGCCACUAACCUCUCCGAAUGCAGUUUCGAGUCCCCAGCACAUAACUGACUGGUUCCGUUGCUGGUGGCCCACAGUUCCUUGCAUGCACACAGCUGUUUCUCUGUAAAUCUGCAGGGCAACCACAGGAGCAGAAGCAGAGAAAACAGCAGUGGCUAAGCACUAAGUGCCUAGCAUUUUAUAACUCAUCGGAUUCUCCUAAUGAUAUGAUACGAUAUGGGCGCUGUUGUUAGCAUUCCCGUUUACGGUUAAAGAAAAUAGGGCAGACCCUUUGUUCUGGCUGGUUUUG